UGGGGUAUCGCCAAGCGGUAAGGCACCGGAUUCUGAUUCCGGCAGAACGGCGUGUGCUUCCUGCAACAGGAUGAAGCGCUCGACAGCCACCGCAAGCUGAGUCAUUACUUCAG
rnacentral:tRNA from 1 species